rnacentral:lncRNA from 1 species
UGCUUCUUUUUCUUCUUAGGUCUUCUCUUUCUCCGAGGCUUGUGAGCAUCAGAGUUGGAGCUUAGACUACUGCCAUGACCUGUCCGAGGCUUGUGAGCAUCAGAGUUGGAGCUUAGACUACUGCCAUGACUGGUCCCUGAUCUUGAGGGUUCCCUUACUCUGAAGUCUGAGCUGGUCCCUGCUCUUGAAGGUUCCCUUACUCUGAAGUCUGAGCUGGUCCCUGAUCUUGAGGGUUCCCUUACUCUGAAGUCUGAGCUGCUUUUGCUGUUUGAGGGUUCCCUUACUCUGAAGUCUGAGCUGCUUUUGCUGUUUGAUGCGUAGCGGGAUGUAGAAAUAUCAGAUCUCUGUUUAGAUGAAUUUUGGCCUGCAGACCCAAACCUU